AGUAGUUGGCAUGCUUAUUAUUGCCUUUAAAUAAAUCAACGAAAAUAAAAGGGAACAUUAGAUAAUCAAUGCACGUGGGAAGAGAGAGAGGAUUUAAACAGAUUGAAACGAGGAACACACAUUCCUCUCUCACCUCCAAUCAAGUCAGUUAUCCCACCGUUACCUCCUCCGCCGUGCAGGCGUAAGCCUCCGGGGACGAAGGCACUCCUAAACACCAAUAAAGAACCACAUCUAAACCAUCUCUACGCCCUGAGUCUAAAAACACAAGUGGAAUCUCCUAAUUCUCCCUGACUUCCUCAAAUCGAAAAAAAAGAGCUAAUAACCCUAAUUGAUAAAAUGCGAAAUUAAACCCUCACCACCCGAAAUCAAUGCCACCUAGGUGAGGGAUUAGAUUCCCAACGCCGAACCCUACAUUCUGAUAACAAGAACAAAUCAAACAAAGUCAGAAAUUGGAUACUCACCGUCAACGAAGACGCAGUGGCACCGGAGUCAAGUAAAUCUCUUCUCCCCCUUUUUCGCUCUUCUGCAACCUUUCGUUCUUCUUCUUCAAUCUUCUACCACCUUCUGUUCUUCUUCGAUUUUUUUCAACGUCUUGAGUGUGAACUGUGAUGCGAAAGAGAGGUUGAGAGAGUAAUGGUCAGUCUCAGCUCGUGCGCGUUGAAGCUUCAAGGCGAAGCUUCAAUGGCCUCAAAAGUGGAGCUCCGAGUGAGGGUGAAAGAGAGAAUAAUUGCAGAGAAAAAUGAGAGUGAAAGAGAAAUGAUUGGGUGCCAAAAAAAAUCGAUCCUUUGAAUCGAUGCUUCGAAAUGAUUUAUAGUGAAGGUUGCAAUUGAUUCAGUUAGAAUUUGUUAUGCUGAACUAAGUGAAGCUGAAUGAAUCAACGUGGAGUUGCUUGGACAAAAGGAGACAUGCUGAACUGGUAAUACUUUGCUUCGAAUGCAGAUUUUGUUAGCUUGGUAUGGGACUACAUUUGUCUGAUAUGUGGUACACUAUUAUCCUUCAUUUGGCAAUAUCGUCUUGAUAUUGAAGCUUGUAAUCACAAGAUGGCUCAGAGUGAAAAGGUCCAACAUUCACUACAUUGCAAUCAUCAGAUGCAAAUCCUGUUUCUGAAUCUUGUUUUAAGGAAGAACCUGCUGAGAAUGUUUCCUGAUCAGCAAUUUGAAUGUGCAUUUGGAAGUUGAUGUCACAUGGAUUUUUGAAAUUACUUUUGCCAUCAAGAAGAAAACUCUGGGGCUCCCAAAACAUUCAUUUUUUCUGGCACAUUUCCAGGAGGUAAAGCCUUAGAAGAUUCAUAAUAGGAAAAGAGAUAAGCAGUAGCUCCUUUCCAGCAAGGUGAGUCUGGAUUUGGAAGAAGAUGUUGAAAUUCAAGUCUUUCUAUUUUUUUAUAAUCCAUAAUAUCUUAUGAAUCAUUCAUGUCUGAAACCAUUGCAUUAUUUCAUGAGGUAGCUUCGCUGCUAUAUUCACGCGGAGAUUUAAACCAAAGAAAGCAGCUGCCUCCUUUAUAUCAUGGAUUUUUUGUGUUCAGAGCCUCCAUCUAUAACAAAACGCCAAGGCUUAAAUCUAUAUCUGACCCUGUUAUAGAUUUUUUGUCACAUACAUCAGUAUAUGAAAAGUGAUGGUCCCCUGAAUCUACAACUAAUUUCAAAGGGGGCUCAUGAUGAGUCUCUAGAAACAAUGAAGGAGAUUGCAAAACUGAUGUAUAUGAAAUUGGUUUGUCAAUAACUUGUGUGUGGUUUGUAAUUUUGCUUCAAAUGGAAUGAAUAUGCUUGUUAUUUUGUAAAUGGUUUAUGAUUUGAAUGCAAAUUGUUUUGGUUUAAUGUAAUUGAAAGGUUGUGAUGUUUGAAUGAAAAUAUGAAUCGGAGGAAGUGUGUAUGUAGUUAUGAAUAUGGUACUUGGAUGCUUGAAUAUGUAAGGCAUUGGUUUAUAGAAUGACUUGAAAUAUUAGAACGUGAAUUUUGUA